GCCCAGAGUAACCUCUUAAUAGACCAGGUCGACUCUCCUGCUCUUUGUCGUAAUGUACUAGAGGCACCUUGCUCGUCUUGAUGUCCUGCGGAAAAUUACACCGAUCCAUUGCAUUGAUGACAUUUUGAUAAUCAGAUCUGCUUCUGGUGCCACCGUUGCUUUUUGGUAAAUCUCAUUAUGUGGUCUGAGCAUCUAAAUGAAAGAUCCUUUUCUGCCAGCAUACUGAAUAAACACUACUCCUGCUUCUGGAA